rnacentral:lncRNA from 1 species
CUACAACGUGUGUUGCUCCUGAGAUUAAAGAGCAGGCAUAUGGGUGAAACCUGGUCCAAUAUGAUAUAAUGUCUUCUCUUUGGUCAGCCACAAGCAAAUCAAUUCUAUAAAUGUUUUCCCAGUGCAGCAUAGCCAGCGAGCCUGCUAAUUCACUAACUUUAGAAACAUGUGUGAACUGAACCAUUGUGACCUAGUUAUGGAUGCAACAUUA